rnacentral:rRNA from 1 species
AACCCCUAUCUUUAGUUGCCAUCAGUUCGGCUGGGCACUCUAUGGAGACUGCCACCUAAAGUGGAGGAAGGUGGGGAUGACGUCAAGUCAGCAUGGCCCUUACGUCCGGGGCUACACACGUGCUACAAUGGCCGGUACAAAGGGUUGCGAAGCCGUGAGGUGGAGCGAAUCUCAAAAAGCCGGCCUCAGUUCGGAUUGGAGGCUGCAACUCGCCUGCGUGAAGUCGGAAUCGCUAGUAAUCGUGAAUCAGAAUGUCACGGUGAAUACGUUCCCGGGCCUU